CCCUAGUUUCUCUCAGUCUGAGUCUGGCAGUUACAAGCUAAGACAUGUUUUCCCGUCUUCGCAAGCGUUUUGGGAGGGGGAACGUCGAUUGUGGAGAGACUAGAGUGAAGGAGUUUAGCCUUUCGUCUCAAAGUAAUGAUGGGCAAAGACAGCACUUCUGGGGAAUGUUCAACAUUGGGAGAGAAACAUCAUCCCCUGGCCCUGAACUAAACAAGAAUCAGGCCAUGAGGAAAAGGAGAGGCUGAUUAAAGAGCUGCAGCUCAUUACCGAGGAGAGAAAUGACCCGAGAGAUCGCCUGAGGUUUCUGACAGAGAGAUCCAUGAAGAACAGGCCACACUUCAGGCCAAAUCCAUAUUAUGAAGACCUGGAGAGAAUGGAGGAUGCGGUCAUGUCAAUUCUGCACAACUUAGAGAUGGAGAACACUGAGGUCCAUGAGAACAACCAUAAGCUGAAGAAGGAGAUUACCUUCUCUAGGUCUCAGAAAGUGCAAGAGAGCUGGAAUUGGACACACCCCAGUAAGAGAGCUUCCUGAAGAAUAAGUUGCUUUCUCAGGAGUCCCUGAUGACCAACAUCCUGAAUGAAAACAGCACUUGAGAGACAACUUGGGGGACCGCCUUUCAUUAUGUGUGCUAGAGGAGAAACAGCAAUACGUCUGUGCUUCUAAAUGUUCGUUAAGAAUAGCUUUUAGAAAUAUUUUUGUUAUGAUUUUAAUUGAAGUUUUCUUUUUGUUGUUUCAUAUUUAUAUGUUCUUGUUACUAUUUUUACUUUCAAAUAUUUUUAAAUAUUUUUAUUCAUUUUAAUCCUGUUUUGUUGUAAAAAUGUAUUUGUAAUGAAUAAAAAUUGAAUUC